rnacentral:rRNA from 1 species
CAGGGAUUGCCUCAGUAACGGCGAGUGAAGCGGCAACAGCUCAAAUUUGAAAGCUGGUUCCUUCGGGGCCCGCGUUGUAAUUUGUAGAGGAUGCUUCGGGCGCGGUGCCGGUCUAAGUUCUUUGGAACAAGACGUCAUGGAGGGUGAGAAUCCCGUAUGUGACUGGUUGCCUGUGCCCAUGUGUAGCUCCUUCGACGAGUCGAGUUGUUUGGGAAUGCAGCUCAAAAUGGGAGGUGUAUUUCUUCUAAAGCUAAAUAUUGGCCAGAGACCGAUAGCGCACAAGUAGAGUGAUCGAAAGAUGAAAAGCACUUUGGAAAGAGAGUUAAACAGUACGUGAAAUUGUUGAAAGGGAAGCGCUUGCAAUCAGACUUGCGCGGCGUCGUUCCGCCGGGGUUUUCUCCGGUGUACUCGGCGCUGCUCAGGCCAGCAUCAGUUUUGGCGGUGGGAUAAAGGCCUAGGGAACGUGGGUUGCUUCGGCAACCGUUAUAGCCCUGGGCGUAAUGCCGCCUGCCGGGACUGAGGACCGCGCUUCGGCUAGGAUGCUGGCGUAAUGGUUGUAAGCGGCCCGUCUUGAAACACGGACCAAGGAGUCUAACAUCUAUGCGAGUGUUUGGGUGUCAAACCCAUGCGCGUAAUGAAAGUGAACGGAGGUGAGAACCCUUAAGGGUGCAUCAUCGACCGAUCCUGAUGUCUUCGGAUGGAUUUGAGUAAGAGCAUAGCUGCUGGGACCCGAAAGAUGGUGAACUAUGCCUGAAUAGGGUGAAGCCAGGGGAAACCCUGGUGGAGGCUCGCAGCGGUUCUGACGUGCAAAUCGAUCGUCAAAUUUGGGUAUAGGGGCGAAAGACUAAUCGAACCAUCUAGUAGCUGGGUCAC